GCCAGUGUGGUGUAGUGGUUAGUGUCUCAGACUAGGACCUAGCAGACUAGGGUUCAAAUCCCCACUCAGACUCCUUGGGCCACUCACUGCCUCUCAACCUAGCCUACCUCCCAGGGUUGUCAAUCUGAAGACUGGUGGUUCGAGCCCACACAGCGAUGCCUGUGGGCA